rnacentral:rRNA from 1 species
GACGAACGCUGGCGGCGCGCCUAACACAUGCAAGUCGAACGGAGCUGAGAGAAGCUUGCUUUUCUUAGCUUAGUGGCGAACGGGUGAGUAACGCGUGAGUAACCUGCCCUGGAGUGGGGGACAACAGUUGGAAACGACUGCUAAUACCGCAUAAGCCCACGAUCCGGCAUCGGAUUGAGGGAAAAGGAUUUAUUCGCUUCAGGAUGGACUCGCGUCCAAUUAGCUAGUUGGUGAGGUAACGGCCCACCAAGGCGACGAUUGGUAGCCGGACUGAGAGGUUGAACGGCCACAUUGGGACUGCGACACGGCCCAGACUCCUACGGGAGGCAGCAGUGGGGGAUAUUGCACAAUGGGGGAAACCCUGAUGCAGCGACGCCGCGUGGAGGAAGAAGGUUUUCGGAUUGUAAACUCCUGUCGUUAGGGACGAUAAUGACGGUACCUAACAAGAAAGCACCGGCUAACUACGUG